CUACAGGCUUAACACAUGCAAGUCGAGGGGCAGCAUGGUCUUAGCUUGCUAAGGCCGAUGGCGACCGGCGCACGGGUGAGUAACACGUAUCCAACCUGCCGUCUACUCUUGGACAGCCUUCUGAAAGGAAGAUUAAUACAAGAUGGCAUCAUGAGUCCGCAUGUUCACAUGAUUAAAGGUAUUCCGGUAGACGAUGGGGAUGCGUUCCAUUAGAUAGUAGGCGGGGUAACGGCCCACCUAGUCUUCGAUGGAUAGGGGUUCUGAGAGGAAGGUCCCCCACAUUGGAACUGAGACACGGUCCAAACUCCUACGGGAGGCAGCAGUGAGGAAUAUUGGUCAAUGGGCGAGAGCCUGAACCAGCCAAGUAGCGUGAAGGAUGACUGCCCUAUGGGUUGUAAACUUCUUUUAUAAAGGAAUAAAGUCGGGUAUGGAUACCCGUUUGCAUGUACUUUAUGAAUAAGGAUCGGCUAACUCCGUGCCAGCAGCCGCGGUAAUACGGAGGAUCCGAGCGUUAUCCGGAUUUAUUGGGUUUAAAGGGAGCGUAGAUGGAUAUUUAAGUCAGUUGUGAAAGUUUGCGGCUCAACCGUAAAAUUGCAGUUGAUACUGGAUAUCUUGAGUGCAGUUGAGGCAGGCGGAAUUCGUGGUGUAGCGGUGAAAUGCUUAGAUAUCACGAAGAACUCCGAUUGCGAAGGCAGCCUGCUAAGCUG
rnacentral:rRNA from 1 species